rnacentral:rRNA from 1 species
GAUGAACGCUGGCGGCGUGCCUAAUACAUGCAAGUCGAACGGGGAGUAGCAAUACUCUUAGUGGCGAACGGGUGAGUAACGCGUUGGUACCUGCCCCGAAGCGGGGGAUAACGGACCGAAAGGUCCGCUAAUACCCCAUGUGCUCGGUAACGAGUAAAGGGGAAGACCACUUUGGGAGGGGCCUGCGUCCCAUCAGCUAGUUGGUAAGGUAACGGGUUACCAAGGCGAUGACGGGUAGAGGACCUGAGAGGGUGGCCCCCCACAAUGGAACUGAAACACAGUCCGUAAACCUACGGGUGGGAGCAGUAGGGGAUAUAGGCAAUGGGCGCAAGCGUGGACGAGCUACGGAGCGUGUACGACGACGGCCUGGGGGUAGUAAAGCACUUUUGACUGGGACGAGGAAGGACGGUACCGGUCGAAUCAGCCUCGGCUAACUACGUG